CCUACGGGAGGCAGCAGUGAGGAAUAUUGGUCAAUGGCCGAGAGGCUGAACCAGCCAAGUCGCGUGAGGGAAGACGGCCCUACGGGUUGUAAACCUCUUUUGUCGGGGAGCAAAGAGAGUCACGUGUGACUCAUUGAGAGUACCCGACGAAAAAGCAUCGGCUAACUCCGUGCCAGCCGCCGCGGUAAUACGGGGGAUGCGAGCGUUAUCCGGAUUUAUUGGGUUUAAAGGGUGCGCAGGGGGAGGUGCAAGUCAGCGGUAAAAUUGCGGGGCACAACGCCGUACUGCCGUUGAAACUGCAUCCCUUGAGUGCGCGAGAAGUAUGCGGAAUGCGUGGUGUAGCGGUGAAAUGCAUAGAUAUCACGCAGAACUCCGAUUGCGAGGGCAGCAUACCGGCGCUCAACUGACGCUCAUGCACGAAAGCGUGGGUAUCGAACAGGAUUAGAUACCCCUUAGUC
rnacentral:rRNA from 1 species